AUCGGCCAUUUCGGUUUGUUUCCUGCUCAGCUGGACAUCCAUUUCCGCUUUAGCCUGGGCCGUUUUCUCAAACUCGUCUUGAAGCUGAGACAAGGUACGCUGCAUCUGCGCGAGAGACUCGUCUUUCGACGUGUCAGCGAGCCUCGUCUCCUGCUCCGCAAUCGUCCUAAGACCCACGCGAUGACAGACAUCGGCCAAAAGUAUCGUUUCUCCAUGGGAAACCGAAGCCCUGUUCCCUAACUGCUCACCCCUGAAGUCGACAACUUCAAAACUCUGCUGAGGAAGAGAGUCAUGUCAAGCGCAGCUCAGAUGGAGCGAACGGAAUAGACUACUUGGCUCAGAUCCCCCAGACAGGUUACGCUGCACAGGUUCCGUUGCACAGAGUGUCCCUGACACAAACAAUGCAGGCAGACGAGAUCUACCUGCGAAUUCGCCGGCAGCUCGCAGCCCGAAACCGUACCUACCUUUGAAGAACUGAAAUCUGUUCUUCCAUAUGCUUGAUUUCCUCUUGGUGUUGCGAGCGUUGCAACAUAAACUGCAAGGAAGCCAGCGAGAGAGAGGCUGAAAGAUGCUGUUUCUCCCUCUGUGCCUGGCGUGGUACCAUACGUCGGCCAGCCGAGCGGUUUUGAAAGGAAAUGCGUUUCACGAAACACAGAAAUUCUAUCAUUAGUCGCUGCUAGUACCUCCUGUUUUCCCAACGAGGCAAAUGCCUUCCCGAAGCGACUUUGACCAGAACAGGAUGCUGCUGCUAACGGGGACUGAAAUCCACCGGUGUUCGGCAACUGAGGCUUACCGACUCAAGGGCCUUGUUCUGAGCAUCCUUGAGCUCUGCCUUCUCCAUAUCGUGCGCCUUCGCCUGUCGCAACCAACCCAAACACUGACUCAAAAGAUGAGCGCCGCCUCCGUAAGGGAAGCAAGACGUCACAAUGUUUUUCUCUGCUUGCUCGUUACCCCUCGCUGUGGUACCGCGAGAGUGAGUAUUCGGUGCGCUGACAAUCCUACACUCCUCAUCCCAGCGCUGCACUGGACUCACCGCGUGUCGCAAGAGGACUUCUGUGAGUACCUCACACAUCCUCGACAGUCUGCGUGAUACUAGGCAUUGAUGCACUGAACCACAUCGUGCGUUUCUCUAAAGCCACCUAGAAGGUUUGGCUACGAAACAAGCUUUUAUCGUAAAGGAAGUUUGCCCCGUUCCUUCACUUGUUUCCCAAGGGUACACGUUUCUGCGUACUCGUCAGGUACCUGAAGAUGAUCCGUGACUGCAUGAAGAUUGGGC
rnacentral:lncRNA from 1 species